rnacentral:hammerhead_ribozyme from 1 species
AUCCAGAUGACGGGUCCCAAAUAGGACGAAAUGCGCGUGAUCCUGGAU